CAGCCUGGGUGACAGAACGAGACUCCUUCUCAAAACACACACACACACACACACACACACACACACACACAAGAAUUUAGCCAUCAAAGCACUUGAGCUAUUUUAUCCACAACAUUUUUAGUCCUCACAUGUAUUCUCAAUGUGUGGAAAUGUCAUACGUUUAGUAACUGUUCUGUAGGUUAGGAAGAAGCGUUGCAGGAGCGAUAAAUGCCUGAGCCUGGAAACACACCAGUCUGCUAGCUUUGGCUCUGCCACUCAACAGUUUGUGUCACCUUGGGAAAGUGCAUAAUCUGUGAGGCUAUUUCUUUAUUUACCAUAUGGGAUUAAUAACAGUCCCCAGCCUAUGAGAUGGCUGUAAGAAUGAAGUUUUGGAAUGCAUGGAAAGUCUCCAGGGCUCAGGAGCGUGCUGGGUGUGUUGCAAGUACACAGUGGGAGCUCUGGAGGAAGACCAAGCCAGUAACAGAACAAAACUAAAGAGAAUACAUUUUCUUCUUCCUGACUGGUAGUAUAAAUAUGCAACCUAGUGACACAUGUAAAGUAAACGAAUAGUAUAACUUGUGCUUACUCAAAUGUAUAAUUCAUGAGGUUAUUUUUUGAAUACUCAAUCAUUCUUUGCAAACUGAAGUUUGGCUUCACUUUUAUUUUUCAGAUGGAAAAGAGGCUGAGAUUUUUGUAUUUGAAGAAUUUAAAGACACAAUGACUCAAUUUUGGGUGUCCUUCCAGGAGGUGGGGCUUUCCUCUCAGUCUAAUAAGUCCACAAACUAAACUUUUAUCAUUUCCCCCUGGAAUAACCAGAAUCAGAGCAAGCGGGUCAUUUAAGUCAAAUUCAGGACAGGCCAAUUAAUAAAAGGAGAAUACGGAGUUCAUAUAGUUUCUGUGAAAGAUGUAACUGACAGUGGACUGGGAUGUUCACAGUUACAGGAUGUUAGGGCAAAAGAGGUAUUUUGAGAUAAUUUAGUCCAAGAAACAGACCCGGAGAGGUCAAAAUACAAACUCAGAGUUAGGCAGCUUAUCGAUGGCAGGAUUGGAACUCCAACCUUGAACCCACUCCCAGUUUUAUAGAAGGACUCCAGGAUUUGACACUGUGCCUGCCCUCCUCCUUGGCAGGAGUUCAUGUGGGAAACCAAGUCACAACUGGAAGGCUGCUUAGCGAUCACAGAAUUAAAACAAGAACCUUCAUUCCACUUGGUGAUUCCCCUGUGGGCCCAUCUUUCAGAUACACAAAUUCUGACUCCUCUGGUUCUCUUUUUCUAAACUCUGUGAAGAAAGACCACUGGGUCUGUAGUUGGGUCAUAAAAUGCUUAAUUAAGGUAUGCUAUUUUGGGGUUAAAUGCUGAGCCCAACACACAUUCUUGAUGGGAUAUCAGUACAUCCCAGGUCAUGUGAUAGUUCCCAUUGCCGAGUGUUUAUUUGCUGUGAAUGUGUGACGUGACGUGUUGUACUGAGCACUUUGCAUUCUCUAUCUCUUUAUCUACAAUCUUGCAAGCCAUCUCUGAUGGGCUGCUAGUUUCCACCUGCUAACGUGGUCUUUUCCCCUUGUCUGCGACCCUUUGUCUGGGCAGAGCCAUACGGCUGCUUAGACAUCCCACCUCUUCUCUUUCAGCCCCCAGGAUCCCCAUACAUGUGAUUAUGGAGAGCUAAGAGGGCCCUGGGAGCACAUGGGACUGAGCCUGGCUCAGCCAAGUUCCUAUUUACCCUCUUAACGUGGAUUUCAGCCUCGGUGUUGGCAUGAGAGUCCAUCUGUUAAAAAUGACUUCAGGAGAAGGAAGAGGGAAUAAUAUCCACUGAGUCCUUACCAAGCGUGGCAUGUUACAUAUUCCACAAUCUGGGAGGCAGAAAUUGUGAGCCCAUUUUGCAGAUGAGGAAGUUGACACAUAAAAAAGUUAAGUAGCUUUGCCUAAGGUCACAGAGCCAGCAUGUGAUGGAGGUGAGACUCAACCCCUCUCUGUUUUUCAUGGCAACAUGCUCUCAGGUUUAUACCGCUUUAAGAAAAGUGGGAAAAGAAAGAAAAAAAAGGCAUAAGGACGUGGGUUACAUGCAAUUUUAGUACUGUACGAUUGCUAUUACUAAAGAUACCACCAAAGAAAGUAUGGGUUUUGCUUUGCUGGGAAUUUUAGAGGUCUCGGUGGUCAGUUCUCCUACUUAAGGUAUCCUUUAUCUGAAAGGACCUCUGAAGGGUUUCUGUGAUUUGUGGUUGCAUGAAGGUCACCCCAUUGCUACUCGUCUUUAUGAAACAGUGACAAUAGGGACUAAGAAGAGAAAGGGGCAGGUAUAGAGAGCGCGUGGAAUGCUAUGGCAGCUGGGAGGGGUCUGGGCUGGGCAGCUGCUCCUGCCAUUCCUCUUCUCCUGAGAAUAUCAUAUCUGAGCACAGAGCGCUGGAGGAGGGAGGAUAGGAAAGGAAACAGAUGGCCUCUGCAUGCACAAAAGGACAGCUGGGCUCUGUACGUCUCACCCUCCACAGAGGUAAGCUGGAGGCUGCGGCCUCAUUUCUAACUGAAUUCCGCUACUGUCCCCAGGACCACUCCUUGGGAAGACCUAGUUAGAGCCAUAUCAUGAUAUGAUAUGAGCCAAUUUUUGUCAGUCUCUGUGCUGCACAUGAUAUGGCCAUUGUCUUGUCAUCAUUUCUGCUUAACAGACGAGGAAACAGAUGUCUCAUGGCCUGUAGGUGGCAGAGGAAGGACUUGAACUGAGGCCCAUCUGUACUCAAGCCCCGGCUGAUCUCCACCACGACAGUCUGGUUGUCUAGUCCUGAAGUCACCUACAUGGGUACUAAACCCGGCUUCACCAAUGAAUACCCUGUAAACUCUCAUUGAGUUUCAGCUUCCUAAUAUUACAAAUAAUGAAGGUUAUAGUACCGACUUUGUGGGAUUGCCAUGAAGAUUUAGUAAAAUUACCCACCUGAAAAUCUUGGCCAGAUCAUAGGUGAAUGUUACGGCUUGAGUUGUGUGCCCCUCCAACAGUUAUAUUGCUGUCUUCAGCCCUACUGCCUUAGAAUGUGACUGUAUUUGGAAAUAGAGUCUUUGAGAGGUCAUCAAAUUAAAAUGAAGCCAUGAGCGUGGGCCCAAAUCCAGUAUGAUUGAUGUCCUUGCUAAAAGGGGAAAUUUGGACACUGAGAUCGACAGGCACAUAAGGAAGAUGAAGCAAAGACACACAGGGAGAAGGCGAUAAGUGAAGGAUUGGAGAAAUACAUCCACAAACCGAGGAAUGCCCAGGGCUCCCAGAAGCAGGAGAGAGGCGGGAGCAGGCCCUUCCCUCGCAGCUUCAGAGGGAGCAUGGCUCACCCAGCACCUUGAUGUCAGGCUUCUGGCCUCCAGAGGGAUAAGACAAUAAAUGUCUGUUGUUUAAAGCUACACUUUUUGUGGUAUUUUGUUGCAGCAUCUCUGGAAUAUUAAUACAGCACACAAUCCAAUGUUCUUGUUCUUCCUUAGGCCAUUCAUUCAACAAAUAUUUCAAACUAAGUGCUGGGGAUUUGUUCAGAGGUGAACAGAUCCUGUUUCUGCUCUCGAGUGGCUCAUGUCCUAGUUAGGGACACAAACACAUCAACAAGCAAUGAUAGUAGAGUGUGGUUGGUGCCUGGCCAUGGGCAAGGCAAGGGCAGGGUGCUUCGGGGGUUUCAAGGAGGGGCCCUUAAAUUAGCGUGCGCAUCAGAGAAGCACAGCUGCUUCGAGGGAGUGAUAUCCCAAAAAUGAUGGAGUAGUCGUUUUAUUUGGAAAAGAACAUGCCUGUUAUGGUGCAAGGGCGUUAAUGACUUUUUGUUGUUAUAAUUGAACAAGGACAGUUCCAAGUAUAUAUAAAAAAUGACAGGAACAAGCGAGAUUAGAAGGGAAGCCAACGUGUUUGUUUCACUUAGCAGUUCUGCCUCCAGGAUCGCUUUUAGCUGAGAUGUUUCCUGAUUAAGGUUGGGGGAUGUUUGGUAGUGACAAGUCGAGGUUGAAUAGGGUGGGGUACUGAUGAGAUCAGGGAACAUUUAUCAACAGGAAAGACUGAUGUCUUCUAAAGGCAGAAUACUCCCUUUAUUUAACCCUUCCUCUUUCAUCAACAUGUGCCACAUGGCAAGAAAAGAUUCCAAAGCCGUUGCUGCUGGGUGAGGUUGUGUAGCCUGUGGACUGCACAAGGACCCCUGACCAAGGGGAGAAUGGGGACUGAAAUCCAGCCUAUGCUCCCUUGCACAGGCUGUGUGUCUUGGGAUACCUCUUUGUUUUGCACAAACAUACCACCUGCCUGCUCAGUCAUCUGCCACUGACUCAGGUUCUACCCAGAAAGGGCACCUUUUUCUAAUUCAUGCAAAGUGCCAUCUAUGUAGCAUGGUCUUUGGCUCUGGCUGCAUGAGGAAGCAUUUGUUUCUUUUGAAACCAAGGCCAUUCUACCAGCUGGAAGUCUGCCAAGGAGUCCCUGUUACACAAUUGGAGCCUGGUUCUCUGGCAACCCUAAUGUGUACUCCCAUGGCAUUAGCUAAAUUACCACCACCCAGUUAACUUGCUAGCCUGCACUCUUACUCAGGGCUUUCAGCUUAUGCACCUGAAGUCAAGACCAUAUGUGGUUUUUAUGGAGCCAGAAAGUUAGGGAUGCAAUAAAGCGCUAAGUAACUGGCUAAUAAAUGUUAGUUAUAUGUUUUGUCUGGGUUGCUAGGACAAUCUUCUACAAAUUCUACUUUGUCAUAUAUUUAAACAUUGAAUACUUUGUAAAUUACUUUGAGCUUCAAGCUUCUUCUCCUUUAGGGCCCUCUCCCCCCAAUUUGCUUUGGGAGUGAGGUCAACGGAUGUGCUGUGGGGGCUCGGGGUGUGCUCCAGAAUAUGAACAGACAACAGGUUCUAACGCUGAUUGUCUGGAGGAUCGCAAGCAAUGCAACCUGUCUGUCUGAGAGCAGAGGGGAAAAUAACAGUAUAGGGAUAGUGCGGGCAUUACAAGUAGAUGCGCAUGGCCUUCCAGACAGCAGCGCGGGGAGCGGAAGGAGCUGGGGUGGGGUGCUUGGUAAGGAAAUAGGAUCCCCAUUCUGGGGUGGCUCCAAGGGAGGGAAAACCUGUUCACCAGGGAAAUAGGAGUUUCUUUUGUGUCAACAGUCUGUGGGUUCAUAUGAAGACAUUUCAGCAAUAAUAACAUAAUUAAAAAUCACUGACUUAUAACCCUACUUGCAUGGUACAGAAUCUUCAGUUUCUCCUCGCUCCCUGCCCUGCUUAUUUCUGGAAGCCUCAUGUCAGCUCAAGAGCACUUCUUUCCUAUUUCACCCUUUAGCUCCUUCCUCCUGAGGCUGCUGUCCAAGCUGCUUAAGGUGCACGAAGACAGAGUCUCUGCUAUGGUGUGUACCGGGGUAGCAAAGGGCCUGUGUCUAGGCCUUGCUGGCCUUCCCUUCCCUGUGUUCUGGGUCCCUUCAGGUUCAUGGAACAAGCUAUGCUGUGCCCUACCCUCCUGCCCUUAUGCCACCUUGCCACUGGGACCCCAUGAAAUGCUGCAGGUGCUCUGGCAUUUCUCUGAAUCCCUCAUAAAGUUAGCUCCUAGCUGUUGCUUCUCUCUGCAGGAGGCUCUGCCACAAAACCAAGGGGCUAGGGAGGGAGAUGGGACCCCAGGCCUUCCUUCCCACUCUGCCUCUGCCCUUAGGAGAUUGUCCACAACAUGUAGGCACCAGGACCUCCAGUGUCCCAGCCAACCUUCUAGGGCCAGCGUGCUCCCUCCUUCUACCAUGAAGCCAAGCCACGUGUCAUCCCCGCCUCAAAGCCACCCACAGUGCUUUGUUCUUGUCUUGUGUUGCUUACCAUGGUUUCUCCAUCACAAGAGAUUUUUGAUACUCUUCUUCUUCCCUUUUCCUAAAAGAUAAGCUGAGUUUGAAUUGGGAUUAUAUUAUAUAUUAUUCAUUUUUUUAUAUUUGAUGUAUUGUGCUUAACACAAUGCCCGGCAAAACGUAGGUGCUGAAUAAAGAUUUAUGAAGGGAAAGAAGGAAACGGUGAAAAAGCCAGACUAUGCUUUUAUGGCACAUUCACCCAGGUGGGUUUGACAGUGAGUGACCAAAAGUUUUUGUGGAAGAGCGUGAACAAAUCAUGAAACUGACUAGUAUUGGUGAUCCCUUUUCCUUCUGUGCUGUCAUCAGUGAGUUAAUCUAAACUGUCAUUAGCCUACCUGUGUUUUUAGCUUGUUUGCUGCUUUGCAUUAACACAUUCUGCAAGCCUGCAGCUAAAACCGUGAAGUGUUUCUUUAUUACAUGGUGUCUUUCCAAGCAGCCCAGCGACAUCGGGGAGAAAGAGCCUGGAUCUGGAGUGAGACAGAUUUGAAUCUGUCUGAAUCUCACUGAUGGAGCUCACAAGCCUGGGGAACCUUAGGCCAGUUCCUCAACUUCUCUAAACCCCGACUUCCUCUUCUGUCACGUGGACAAUCGUGUUACGCACCCACAGGCUGUUCUGGGGAUUAAGUAUUGAGAUGCAGGCCGAGCACAAUGCUGGCGCAGAGAUCCUGCACAAAUCAUUGUUAGCUUUUACACAAUUAUUAUCCUGGUUGUUGUUCUGCCUUCUCAGAUGUUAUCUUUCUGCACUCACAUAUUUUAAUCUUUGUCGUUUAUCUUUAUGUGGAAACCUUAUUGCAUCCCCUUGAUUAUGUCAAAGAUGUUCUCUGGUUCUUUCUUGAAUUUUCUCGUACCACUUCUGAGUGAAGAAAAGGAAAGAAAGCUGCAAUGAUACGAUCAAGGCUUUGGUGGCAGGGGUGUUUUCUGUCUUCCCGUGCUUGGCUGGGUUUCAGGGAAAUCCAGAAAAAUACCAGCUGGCAGAAGGUAUCAUUGUGUUUGGUUAAAGGAACAUUGAUGUAUACCCUUUUCCAGAGAAGUGAGGAGACCAAACCACUGGAGGAAAGAAUGUGGUUUUGUGUCACACGUGAAAAGAAAGCUGGGAGCAAGGGGAGAAGAAUAUUUCAGGCCAGAGCAUUUGAAUGCAACUGAAGGCUUCUGUUCCAAACUAAGUGACUGAAGACAUUUACAAACUAGAUGAAAAUAACUCUUUUAUAAACCCUAUGGGACCCCUCCUUGCCUGAUGAAAUGAUUGGAAAAUUAGGUAGACUAACUAGUUUUGCUGAUUGAGAAAAAUAUAGCCAAUUUAAACCUGUGAUUGAACUCUUGAGAUAAUAAACUCCCCCAUUCUAAUGAGUCUGGGUUAUAAUCAGGAUGUGGCCCUUUCUGUUCUCAUGCUAGCUAUUUUGGGUUAUCUUUCCUGAAAGCAGACGUCAUUGUUACAUUUGUAGAUGUCACAUUUGGUUCUGCACGCCUUGGGUGUCUGUCUUUGUGUGCAGGAAACAAAUAUAAUUUUAAAAAAUGCAGACUUUCUUUUCUUUUCUUUUC